GAUCACCAGCUCUGCAGAGUCGGAGGCGAAGACGAGCACCGGCCUGGUGAAGGGACACGCCUACUCCAUCACCGGCAUGGAGGAGGUGGCUGUCAGAGGUCAGAAGGUCCAGCUGAUCCGGAUCAGAAACCCCUGGGGUCAGGUCGAGUGGAACGGCCCCUGGAGUGAUAGCUCCAGAGAGUGGAGCUGUGUGAGCGCAGCGGACAAAAAUCGCCUCCUGCAGAAUUCAGAUAACGGUGAAUUCUGGUGAG